rnacentral:rRNA from 1 species
UUUGAUCCUGGCUCAGAACGAACGCUGGCGGCGUGCUUAACACAUGCAAGUCGAACGCGAAAGUUUUCUUCGGAAGAUGAGUAGAGUGGCGCACGGGUGAGUAACGCGUAAAUAAUCUACCCCUGCAUCCGGGAUAACCCACCGAAAGGUGUGCUAAUACCGGGUACGUUCUUUUGAUCGCGAGAUUAAAAGAAGAAAGGUGGCCUCUGAUAUAAGCUACUGUGCGGGGAGGAGUUUGCGUACCAUUAGCUAGUUGGUAGGGUAAUGGCCUACCAAGGCAAUGAUGGUUAGCGGGUCUGAGAGGAUGAUCCGCCACACUGGAACUGGAACACGGACCAGACUCCUACGGGAGGCAGCAGUGAGGAAUAUUGCGCAAUGGGGGCAACCCUGACGCAGCGACGCCGCGUGGAUGAUGAAGGCCUUCGGGUCGUAAAAUCCUGUCAGAUGGAAAGAAAUGUAUAUGGAUUAAUAGUCCUUAUGCUUGACGGUACCAUCAAAGGAAGCACCGGCUAACUCCGUGCCAGCAGCCGCGGUAAUACGGAGGGUGCAAGCGUUGUUCGGAAUUACUGGGCGUAAAGCGCGCGUAGGUGGUCUGUUAUGUCAGAUGUGAAAGUCCACGGCUCAACCGUGGAAAGUGCAUUUGAAACUGGCAGACUUGAGUACUGGAGGGGUAGUGGAAAUUCCCGGUGGAGAAGGUGAAAUUUCCUACAUAUCGGGAGGAAAUACACGGUGGCGAACGCUUACUCCCUGGUCUCUAUCACGACACUGGAGGUGCGAAAGCGUGGUAGAACCAAUCUGGAUUACACUACCCUGGAAGUCCACGCCGUU